rnacentral:rRNA from 1 species
GACGAACGCUGGCGGCGUGCCUAAUACAUGCAAGUCGAGCGGACCAAAGGGAGCUUGCUCCUGGAGGUUAGCGGCGAACGGGUGAGUAACACGUGGGCAACCUGCCUGUAAGACUGGGAUAACAUCGAGAAAUCGGUGCUAAUACCGGAUAAUAAAAAGAACUGCAUGGUUCUUUUUGAAAGAUGGUUUCGGCUAUCACUUACAGAUGGGCCCGCGGCGCAUUAGCUAGUUGGUGGGGUAACGGCUCACCAAGGCGACGAUGCGUAGCCGACCUGAGAGGGUGAUCGGCCACACUGGGACUGAGACACGGCCCAGACUCCUACGGGAGGCAGCAGUAGGGAAUCUUCCGCAAUGGACGAAAGUCUGACGGAGCAACGCCGCGUGAGUGAUGAAGGUUUUCGGAUCGUAAAACUCUAGUUGUUAGGGAAGAACAAGUGCCGUUCGAAAGGGCGGCACCUUGACGGUACCUAACGAGAAAGCCACGGCUAACUACGUGCCAGCAGCCGCGGUAAUGU